UUGGCUGCUGUAGUCAGGCAGCAGCAGCAUUGCCUGGCUGGAGGGCUGCUGAGAACAACCUGGAGUAAGCAAAAGCAUCCAUUAGGGUCUAAGGAGAAGGAACAGCAUGAAAGCAGCUUGUGCUUCACCACAGAAUUCUUUUGUGCUGCAUUACCAGAAUAUAGACAUUGACUUUGCAGAUGGCUCAUUAUUUACCAAGUCAGGGAAAUUCUAAGCAUUCUGCCUUGACUUUUUAAGAAGCUUUUCUGAGUUGCCUGGAGCCCUGCUGGACUACCAGGAUGUUGAGGAGCUGGGGACUUGAAAUACAUGAUCCAAGGACUGCCUGCUGGGCAGGCUACCUCAGAGGGGACCCUGGAAGGCCAGGCCUGUGAGGAGCAACAUGUGUAGGCAUGAUGGCUCCCAUGACCCUAGGUUUCUGCCACCCUGGCCUAAAGGAAGUUCCUUUUACUGAAGGCCUAAUACUUUCAAAUUCUCAGCUCCUGAUUAUGAUCUUGAUUAUCUGAUUAUGUGCCAGUCAGGUGACCUGGCAGGAAACCAGGAAGGUUUUUGACAUAAUACUGAAAUCAACAUGUUCCCACAGAAAGUUUUACUUUUAAUAAACUGGCAUUUUCUGAAC